GACGAACGCUGGCGGCGUGCUUAACACAUGCCAGUCGAACGGAAAGGCCUGCUUUCCCUUGUGGAUUGCGGGUACUCGAGUGGCGAACGGGUGAGUAACACGUGAGUGAUCUGCCCCCAACUUGGGUAUAAGCCUGGGAAACUGGGUCUAAUUCCCGAUAGGACUGCAGGGUGGUGCCUGUGGUGGAAAACGAUUUUCUAGUGGUUGGGGAUGAGCUCGCGGCCUAUCAGCUUGUUGGUGGGGUAAUGGCCUACCAAGGCGGCGACGGGUAGCCGGCCUGAGAGGGGGGACGGCCACAUUGGGACUGAGAUACGGCCCAGACUCCUACGGGAGGCAGCAGUGGGGAAUAUUGCACAAUGGGCGGAAGCCUGAUGCAGCGACGCCGCGUGGGGGAUGACGGCCUUCGGGUUGUAAACUCCUUUCGACCGCGAGGAAGCCACCUGGUUGGAAGGGUGGUGACGGUAGUGGUAGAAGAAGCACCGGCUAACUACGUG
rnacentral:rRNA from 1 species